rnacentral:rRNA from 1 species
UAGGGAAUCUUCGGCAAUGGGGGCAACCCUGACCAAGCAACGCCGCGUGAGUGAAGAAGGUUUUCGGAUCGUAAAGCUCUGUUGUAAGAGAAGAACGUGUGUGAGAGUGGAAAGUUCACACAGUGACGGUAACUUACCAGAAAGGGACGGCUAACUACGUGCCAGCAGCCGCGGUAAUACGUAGGUCCCGAGCGUUGUCCGGAUUUAUUGGGCGUAAAGCGAGCGCAGGCGGUUUAAUAAGUCUGAAGUUAAAGGCAGUGGCUUAACCAUUGUUCGCUUUGGAAACUGUUAAACUUGAGUGCAGAAGGGGAGAGUGGAAUUCCAUGUGUAGCGGUGAAAUGCGUGGAUAUAUGGAGGAACACCGGUGGCGAAAGCGGCUCUCUGGUCUGUAACUGACGCUGAGGCUCGAAAGCGUGGGGAGCAAACAGG